UUUGCGAUAAAUCGAUACUAAUCUAAAACCUUAUGGUCGGUAUUACGAAUAAAGAGCUUGCCAGUGAUCUUGAAAAAGUUCGAGAAGAUAGAGAAAACGAAAAGAAAAUGGAACGUGCAUAGCCUUGCAUAUUGAAAAGCUAAUCCAUCCCAACGCGUCAGCACGUUCAUUCGUAGUAUAUACCGUGAAAAUUGUAGUUCACCCACGUGAGAUAAGCCGCACCUCGCAAAAGAACGAACGAAUGAAAGGACACGGAGGAACAUUUGAGAGAAAAGGAGAGAAAUAGAGAAGCCAGUUUGGUUGACGCGCGCGUUUUACGUGCAUAGGCACAGUGUUUACAGCUACAAGCGCUUGGUCGGUUAUUUAGUCACGCUCCAGUAAGCGUUUUCAAGAGUACGCUUUGUGACCCAUUAUGGCGCGUGUCGGGACGCGUGUCGUAGACUCGGUGCAGGGACCUGCCACGCGACGCAAAUAUAGAUGCGACUUCUCCUUUCUCUUUUUUUCCACCGAUACCUAUUUUCGAUAUCCCUUCUACUCUUUUCCUAGAGAUCCUAGAGAAAAGCCGUAAUUCAAUGGUAUUGAGAAAGCAGGCUUCUCUCGCAUCAACGGGUUGCAUCUGUCCCCGUGUGAGUCCGUGCGAGAAGAAAUAUGGCUUGAUUUUCUGAAUGACUGCGCGUGUAAGCGCGCGACUGCGGAAGCCAAGAAGAUACGAUCCGCAAAUAGUAAAGCCCGAACCGAAAAAAGACGGCGGAAAUAGAGAAAUGUUUUCCUAACCCAGAGACAAGAAUAAAUACAAGCGACGCGUAUCCGUGAAUAGAGAGAGAGAGAGAGAGGAAACUCGUCAAAAAUUAGGUGACGAGCAGCUCAUUUUUUUCAAUAGUAAAACUCGAUUCGAAUCGAGAGAAAAAAAAAGGUGAUAAAGAAAACGUCAAGCAUAUCCAUCCUACCCUCUUGUUGGCCACUGUGGAUAAUUGAAAGCGCAUCCACCGACGCGCUGAGUUUCUUCUUUUCUCGUUUAUACGAGAGUAUAUUUCGCUGCUUCGCGAGAAGAAAGAAGAUGAAAGCGCGAAAUUAACAAACCAAGCGAAGCGAAAGAAAUCAAGCAUGACGGAACAAGAACUCUAUACUUUCUUUCACACCUUUUGUUCCCCCACAUACAUAUAUUAUUUAUCUCGCUUCCUUAUAUCUUUUCUCAGUAACUACUCUACCAUUGUCGGUCGUGCAUCUUGGGUCACAUUUGAUAAAAUAAUAUUUUAUAUUCAGGAAUCAUCAAGGGUCAUAAAAGGGAUCAUCGAGGGAUAGAUCCAUCAUCGAUUUUUACGUGAGAAUACAGGAAAGAUAAAAAGAACACUCGCGCGCAUGUUGGCGAGCACAGGCCGAUUGGGUGUUCGCGGACGCAUUUAAAAUUUCUAUCGGGAACUUUGUUUUAUUUCCAUGAAAAUUCGAUUAGAUUACCUCGCGAACGCGGAUUUUAAAAUAGAGAAUGGAUCGUUAGCUCGUAGAUCUCCACAUGCAGUAACUUCUACGUAGUGAGAUUUAAGUCGGUAGUACUAGCGAAAUUUAAUCGUACACCACACUUCUUUUCUAUUUCAACGAGUAAACAUAUCUCUCCGUCUUAUUAUAUUUAUUAUUUUAUCAUAAUUAACUAUUAUUUAAACAAUACCGCAUUUAUUUAAAUAUUAUCAAGUUAAGGUAAAUUAUUAAUUUUAGCACAUAAUUCUAAUAUUUUUUUAAUGAAUCUAGGAAUAGGAUGAAAUUAUUUUAAAAACCGAAUGAUCAUUAUUUAUUGAAUGUUUUAUGUAAUGAAUAACAACAAAUAACCCAUAUACUUCGUAAAAUUAUUUACGAUUAUAUGUUGUUUUACAUAUAUACAAGUUACUAUACAAGUAAAUAGUAUCGUUAAUGAACAAUAUUUUAUAGUUUUCAAAUUAUGAAAUAUAAAUAAACGUUCGUAAAAAAUCAUGUUAUUGGAUGGGACAAACAAUUUGAAUAUUACCAAAUACAUUAGUGAUGUAGGCAUACUUUUAUUUACUAAAUAUUUUAUAUUUUUCCAAAUUUGAAUCUAUGAUUCGUCUCCUCAUUCGGAAUUUUAAGAUUUCAUAACGCGCAUAAUUUGAAAAUUGAUACAUUUGUAAAUAAGUAAAAGAUCGACUUGUCAGAAUUAGCACGAAUUAGUUAACAAUCGUUAUGAAUUAUCCAAGAAUAUUUUUCAAUGUAUUAUAAAUACUCUUUUUCUAUAUAUAUUAUAUCACUGGAAUAAUGCAUAAGAUAAUACAAUUAAUAUUUUUAAAAUGACGUUUAUCAGUUGAAAUAAUUAUAUGAUAUUACAACUUUAUCAUACUUGUAACUUGUUUAAAAAAUGGAAAAUAUACAACUGAAAUGAA